rnacentral:rRNA from 1 species
UACGUAGGGUGCGAGCGUUUGUCCGGAAUUAUUGGGCGUAAGGAGCUCGUAGGCGGCCUGUCGCGUCGGUUGUGAAAGCCCGGGGCUUAACCCCGGGUCUGCAGUCGAUACGGGCAGGCUAGAGUUCGGUAGGGGGAGAUCGGAAUUCCUGGUGUAGCGGUGAAAUGCGCAGAUAUCUGGAGGAAUACCGGUGGCGAAGGCGGCAUCCUGGACCAUUACUGACGCUGAGGCGCGAAAGCUAGGGGAGCAAACGGGG